rnacentral:tRNA from 1 species
CGGGGUGUAGUAUACCGGUAGUACGCUUGGUUUGGGACCAAGUUGACUGGGUUCGAUUCCCAGCACCCCGA